AACGAACGCUGGCGGCAUGCCUAACACAUGCAAGUCGAACGAGACCUUCGGGUCUAGUGGCGCACGGGUGCGUACCGCGUGGGAACCUGCCCUUAGGUUCGGAAUAACUCCCCGAAAGGGGUGCUAAUACCGGAUAAUGUCUUCGGACCAAAGAUUUAUCGCCUUUGGAUGGGCCCGCGUUGGAUUAGCUAGUUGGUAGGGUAAAAGCCUACCAAGGCGACGAUCCAUAGCUGGUCUGAGAGGAUGAUCAGCCACACUGGGACUGAGACACGGCCCAGACUCCUACGGGAGGGAGCAGUGGGGAAUAUUGGACAAUGGGCGAAAGCCUGAUACAGCAAUGCCGCGGGAGUGAUGAAGGCCUUAGGGUUGUAAAGCUCUUUUACCCGGGAUGAUAAUGACAGUACCGGGAGAAUAAGCUCCGGCUAACUCCGUG
rnacentral:rRNA from 1 species